AUGGGACUCUAUCCAGUGUUGUGUGAAUUGUAAGGACAGGCCACACUCAGAGUCUACCCUCUGCCUUGGUAUUGCUGAUGCUACGAUCUUCAUCUUUGACCUGGGGUGGAAGAAGGCCAGUGUGGAUGAAUUUUUUUCUCUGUGGGCUCUGAUGUCAGAUGAAUAAGAGCAGCUUUCCUAAGUCCUAGAGGCCAUCCAUGUUUGUACCAAGUACAUGGUACAGAGUUUUGUGAAGGUGACGUUCAUGUUCAAGUGCAGUUCUACCCUUCCUAUAUCAUCUGCUUCCACACGGUGUUGUCCUGUGCUGGGCCAGCAGGCUCCCAACAGCUACUCACGGUUUCUUUGGGAAGCCCCAGGACACAGUAGUCAGGUUCACUUUGGGCAGCUCACAUCACGUUCGUUUGCGCCAAGCUGCAGAGUAAGGAACAUGUGAUUGAGGCUCUUCAUAGAGCCAAGUUCAAGUUCCCUGGCCGCCAGAAGAUCCACAUGUCCAAGAAGUUGGACUUCACCAAAUGUCAUGUUGAUGAAUUUAAGGACAUAGUAACUGAGAAUCAGCUCAUCCCUGGUGGCUGUAGGGUCAAAUAAAUCCCAACCUCAGGCCGCUGGACAAGUGGCAGGCCCUGUAC
rnacentral:lncRNA from 1 species